UGUGGUAUCGGGCCAGGAAGGAAACAGACAGAGAACCAAAGGCAGCACGGGGAAGGAGUGAAAGGAGACUACAUGUGUCUUUCUGUUAUACGUCCCACAGUCUGAAGGGUAGAAGAAUAAAAUGAAAUACUGCCUGUGGAAAAGGAUGAAGCUGUUUGAACUCGACGUAUUCAUCUCCACAUCAAAACACACAAAGAUGAAUACACAAGCGUGAUGACCUUAAUAUGACCCCCAACUCUCACAAUCCAUCUGAGAACACAGAUGCUGCUGCUCCAUUACUCUGAAAGAAAAUGAGCAGCUCAACAGCGCCUCACGGUGGACUCUGGCAAUAGUGCUCAAGUGAAAUUGGUCUUUUUUUUUUUUUUUUUCCAGAUGGUCCAAGCAGGAUCAUUAUUAGCCAUUUCCGCUGUAUCAGAGUAAGAACUUAUCAGUGUUUUUAAGUAGUGUCAGUACGUACCAUCCAUGAGUAACUGGAAGCCUUUUCAUGCUCUAUAUUUCUGUGGUAAAAACACAAACUAACUUUCAUAUAUAUAUAUUUUUUUUUAAAUGAUUCGUUUUCCAAUAACAGAACUGGUCUCUAUGUGCAGCCGGCUGUGAGAGGCCCGUUACAUAUCGGUGACACUGUCUGAGAACAUUUAUAUAUGCAUUAUAUUUUUGUUUGUGUUGUACUUCGUAGACGUUCCCUGUACACUCUGCCAUGUGAAUAUGAACAAACAUGACAAAUAGGGUGGUGGAUAUGGAGAGAUUACCUGAUGUGAAGCUCUGGCAGUCAAACAUUUCCUGCACAGUGUCAUAUACAUACAACACACACACCUUUAAACAUUCCAUUAACUCAAGUGCUUUCUGCACAAUCCUUUGUCAUUGUUGCACUUUUCUGUUGCACUGCCUUGUGUCUGCAUCUUUCUGUUCUGCCUGGUGUUGUACUGUUUUUGCAAGUUUUGCACACGUGCACUUUAUGUAGUGUGCAUGUAGCACCAUGAUCCUGGAGGAACACCGUCUCAUUUCACUGUGUACUGUACCACCGUAUAUGGUUGAAAUGACAAUAAAGCCACUUGACUUGAUUUCCCUCUCCACCUCUUUUCUGAUACAGUUAGGGCCAAGUUUUU
ensembl:lncRNA